AUUGUGUUGUUUAAGUGUUCCCUUUAUUUUUUUGAGCAGUGUAUAUAUAUAUACACACACACACACACCCCAGUACAACAUGUUGGGAAGAGAGGAGGAGAGCGGUGAAAAGUCAACUGACAGGUUCAUGUCUGCCCAGAGCUGGCUACAGGAGUACAUUAACACCAAUAUGUGAAAUGGCGGGGGGGAGAGAAAGAGAGAGGCGCUUGCGGUCUGUCCCUAAGGAGGCUGGUGUGUGUGGUGUGAGGGGAAUGUCUUGGGAGCGCAGUGUUACUCUGGUGAAGGUAAUAAAUAUACCCGGCAGCACCUCAGAGAUCCACCACCAGCUUUACUGACACAAUAUUAUUCUGCUGCCCCAAACCCCACUGGGACAAUGGGGUGGUGUGUGUAUGGGUUGAGAGAGUAACUCUGGUUAAAGAUUCUGCCCAUAUGAUUGGGUGCCACUGGGGUCGUCAGAGUCCGUUCCCCUGCAGCCUGGUCUCCAAGAAACCAUCACAUCAACUGAUGCCGCAAUUCUCUCAUGAUCAUUUAGUACCUUAUGUAGGCAAGUUGACAUUAAACAUGAUCCUGACCUGAGCAGGAAGAAGUCCAGGCUCUAGUAACAGGUUCCAACUCUGGGCUCUAGUAACAGGGUCCAACUCUGGGCUCUAGUAACAGGUUCCAACUCUGGGCUCUAGUAACAGGUUCCAACUCUGGGUUCUAGUAACAGGGUCCAACUCUGGGCUCUAGUAACAGGUUCCAACUCUGGGCUCUAGUAACAGGGUCCAACUCUGGGCUCUAGUAACAGGGUCCAACUCUGGGCUCUAGUAACGGGGUUCAACUCCGGGCUCUAGUAACGGGGUCCAACUCCGGGCUCUAGUAACGGGGUCCAACUCCGGGCUCUAGUAACGGGGUCCAACUCCGGGCUCUAGUAACGGGGUCCAACUCCGGGCUCUAGUAACGGGGUCCAACUCCGGGCUCAAUCUGUCUGUCAUGUAGAAUAGGGAAUCCAGUCUGCUAUAUUCAUUACGUUUUUAUCUGUGACAUUCUAAAUGUUUCAUCUUGCUGAAUAUACCCCAGCAGAUUUCCAGGAAGGUUAUGGUGUGUUAGGGUGUCGCUAUAGGCUGAAGUGUGCAUGAGGGUGUAAAAUGGGAAUAUACAGUGGUCAGUUUAUUAGGUACACCACCCCGUUUACGAAAUGGUUCGCUCCUACAGACAGUGAGCCACGUGGUCUGCUAUAUAAAGCAGGCAGACAUUGAGGCAUUCCGUUAGAAUGGGCAAAACCAGUGACCUAAGCAACUGAGUGUGGUAUGAUUGUCG
ensembl:lncRNA